CACGGGGGGGAGCAAGCGUUGUUCGGAAUCACUGGGCGUAAAGGGCGUGUAGGCGGUCAGGUAAGUGGGAUGUGAAAUGCCUCGGCUCACCCGAGGCACUGCAUUCCAAACUGCUUGGCUUGAGUAUGGGAGAGGAUGAGGGAAUUCCUGGUGUAGCGGUGAAAUGCGUAGAUAUCAGGAGGAACACCGGUGGCGAAGGCGCUCAUCUGGCCCAAUACUGACGCUGAGGCGCGAAAGCUAGGGGAGCAAACGGG
rnacentral:rRNA from 1 species